ACUUUAUUAAAUUCGCUUUACGAUUAUUAUGUCUCAGAAAACCCAUUAAUUAUUAAUUGCUAAAGCGUUAAUUACUUACAUUACGAAAGUAUGGAAGUAUAAUAUUGAUAAUAUAAUUCUAUUGUUUCUGCUUAAUCUAAGAAACAGGAGUAAACGAAUAUAUAUUCGUUUACACCUGUUCAGCCAGUCAGUUCAGUCUAGUUUUACUUCUGUAACAGCAGAUCCGUUGGUUAUGCAGAAAACCGACAACACUUUCUAAGACCUAUAUAUGUCAUAGAUCCUGACAUUAAAAAUAAAAUUGGAAUUAACAGGUUAAGAUUUUUGAU
rnacentral:misc_RNA from 1 species